rnacentral:rRNA from 1 species
AGUGAACGCUGGCGGUAGGCCUAACACAUGCAAGUCGAACGGCAGCACAGUAAGAGCUUGCUCUUACGGGUGGCGAGUGGCGGACGGGUGAGGAAUACAUCGGAAUCUACUUUUUCGUGGGGGAUAACGUAGGGAAACUUACGCUAAUACCGCAUACGACCUACGGGUGAAAGCAGGGGAUCUUCGGACCUUGCGCGAUUGAAUGAGCCGAUGUCGGAUUAGCUAGUUGGCGGGGUAAAGGCCCACCAAGGCGACGAUCCGUAGCUGGUCUGAGAGGAUGAUCAGCCACACUGGAACUGAGACACGGUCCAGACUCCUACGGGAGGCAGCAGUGGGGAAUAUUGAACAAUGGGUGCAAGCCUGAUCCAGCCAUACCGCGUGGGUGAAGAAGGCCUUCGGGUUGUAAAGCCCUUUUGUUGGGAAAGAAAAGCAGCAGGUUAAUACCCCGCUGUUCUGACGGUACCCAAAGAAUAAGCACCGGCUAACUUCGUG